rnacentral:rRNA from 1 species
UUGUUAGCCCCGUCUAUGGUAUAAUUUAGUGGCAGACGGGUGAGUAAUGUAUAGGAAUCUACCUAGUAGUACGGAAUAAUUGUUGGAAACGACAACUAAUACCGUAUACGCCCUACGGGGGAAAAAUUUAUUGCUAUUAGAUGAGCCUAUAUUAGAUUAGCUAGUUGGUGGGGUAAUAGCCUACCAAGGUAAUGAUCUAUAGCUGAUCUGAGAGGAUGAUCAGCCACACUGGAACUGAGAUACGGUCCAGACUCCUACGGGAGGCAGCAGUGGGGAAUAUUGGACAAUGGGCGAAAGCCUGAUCCAGCCAUGCCGCAUGAGUGAAGAAGGCCUUUGGGUUGUAAAGCUCUUUUAGUGAGGAAGAUAAUGACGGUACUCACAGAAGAAGUCCUGGCUAACUCCGUGCCAGCAGCCGCGGUAAUACGGAGAGGGCUAGCGUUAUUCGGAAUUAUUGGGCGUAAAGGGCGCGUAGGCUGGUUAAUAAGUUAAAAGUGAAAUCCCGAGGCUUAACCUUGGAAUUGCUUUUAAAACUAUUAAUCUAGAGAUUGAAAGAGGAUAGGGGAAUUCCUGAUGUAGAGGUAAAAUUCGUAAAUAUUAGGAGGAACACCAGUGGCGAAGGCGUCUAUCUGGUUCAAAUCUGACGCUGAAGCGCGAAGGCGUGGGGAGCAAACAGGAUUAGAUACCCUGGUAGUCCACGCUGUAAACGAUGAAUGUUAAAUAUGGGGAGUUUACUUUCUGUAUUACAGCUAACGCGUUAAACAUUCCGCCUGGGGACUACGGUCGCAAGAUUAAAACUCAAAGGAAUUGACGGGGACCCGCACAAGCGGUGGAGCAUGUGGUUUAAUUCGAUGCAACGCGAAAAACCUUACCACUUCUGACAUGAAAU